rnacentral:rRNA from 1 species
AGAGUUUGAUCCUGGCUCAGAACGAACGUUAGCGGCGCGCUUAACACAUGCAAGUCGCACGAGAAAGGGCUUCGGCCCCAGUAAAGUGGCGCACGGGUGAGUAACACGUGGGUAAUCUUCCCUAUGGCGGGGGAUAACAUUCCGAAAGGAGUGCUAAUACCGCAUAAGACCACGACCUCGAAAGGGGUUGAGGUUAAAGCCGGCCUCUAUACAUAAGCUGGCACCAUUGGAUGAGCCCGCGGCCCAUCAGCUAGCUGGCAGGGUAACGGCCUACCAAGGCUAAGACGGGUAGCUGGUCUGAGAGGAUGAUCAGCCACACUGGAACUGAGACACGGUCCAGACUCCUACGGGAGGCAGCAGUGGGGAAUCUUGCGCAAUGGGCGAAAGCCUGACGCAGCGACGCCGCGUGAGUGAUGAAGGCCUUCGGGUUGUAAAGCUCUGUGGAGAGGGACGAAUAAGUGCCGGCUAAUACCCUGCAUGAUGACGGUACCUCCUUAGCAAGCACCGGCUAACUCUGUGCCAGCAGCCGCGGUAAUAC